GGUCGAUUCGGCUAUGGGUAGGCCUCCGCGCUCUCGACGCGGGAAAGCGGGUUCGAGUCCCGCAUCGACUA
rnacentral:tRNA from 1 species